rnacentral:rRNA from 1 species
GGGGAAUUUUCCGCAAUGGGCGAAAGCCUGACGGAGCAACGCCGCGUGAGGGAGGAAGGCCUUAGGGUUGUAAACCUCUUUUCUCUGGGAAGAAGAUCUGACGGUACCAGAGGAAUAAGCCUCGGCUAACUCCGUGCCAGCAGCCGCGGUAAGACGGAGGAUGCAAGCGUUAUCCGGAAUCAUUGGGCGUAAAGCGUCCGCAGGUGGCAAGUCAAGUCUGCUGUUAAAGACAGAAGCUCAACUUCUGAUAGGCAGUGGAAACUGGUUUGCUUGAGUAUGGUAGGGGUUGAGGGAAUUCCCAGUGUAGCGGUGAAAUGCGUAGAUAUUGGGAAGAACACCAGUGGCGAAGGCGCUCAACUGGGCCAUAACUGACACUCAGGGACGAAAGCUAGGGUAGCGAAAGGGAUUAGAUACCCCUGUAGUC